rnacentral:lncRNA from 1 species
UCCUUUUAUCCUUCUAGAUCCUUCCACGAGCCUUGUCUCCUCUCACGCGUUGCGUUUCUGAUGUGAAGAGGGCUACUAGAGUCCUCUUCAAUGUCCACAAAUUCAAGACUUGGGAACAACAGUGGUGUUCCCAGAGGAGUAGAGAAAAUAGAAAAAUAGAAAAUUACUGAGGAAGAAAUGAGAUUUUGUUUGAAAGAGGAGUUGCCGCC